rnacentral:lncRNA from 1 species
GGGCGAGCCAGGCCCCAGGGGCGAGCCAGGCGAGAAGGGCACUUGGGGGGAGGGUUUGCACCAGCUCCGCGAGGCGCUGAAGAUUUUAGCGGAGAGGGUUUUAAUCUUGGAAACAAUGAUUGGGCUCUACGGCCAGUAGCUUCCAAACCCUCCUGCGGCAGCAGGCCCGGCUGGAGGUCCUGGCUAGAAGGGUCACCUUGCUGGAAGCCAUCAUCUGGCCAGGUAACCGCACCACCUUCUCUCCUCCCCUCCCCGCAUGAGCUGGGCGCGCCGCGGCCUC